AAGCCGAUUUUCGAACAUCUGAUUAUUCCAAACGAAAGAGCAUGCUUUGAAGAAUAUAGACAAAAUUUUAGUAUCGUUCGAUAGCGAAUUUUCACGGUUUUUUCAAUUAUAAAUUGAAAAAAAGUGAUAUUUCUAAGCUGAUUUUCGAACAUCCGACCAUGGCAAACGAAAGAGCAUACUUUUUUUCUAUAUAAUAGCAUAUUCUUUAGAGAACUUUUUUAAAUAGUUAAAAUUUUAUGAAAAAUAUAGACAAAAUUUUAGUAUCGUUCGAUAGCAAAUUUUCACGGUUUUUUCAAUUAUAAAUUGAAAAAAAGUGAUAUUUCUAAGCCGAUUUUCGAACAUCCGACCAUGGCAAACGAAAGAGCAUACUUUUUUUCUAUAUAAUGGCAUAUUCUUUAGAGAUCUUUUCUAAAUAGUUAAAAUUUUAUGAAGAAUAUAGACAAAAUUUGAGUAUCGUUCGAUAGCGAAUUUUUACGGUUUUUUCAAUUAUAAAUUGAAAAAAAGUGAUAUUUCUAAGCCGAUUUUCGAAAAUCUGAUUAUUCCAAACGAAAGAGCAUACUUUUUUCUAUAUAAUGGCAUAUUCUUUAGAGAUCAUUUCUAAAUUGUUAAAAUUUUAUGAAGAAUAUAGACAAAAUUUGAGUAUCGUUCGAUAGCGAAUUUUUACGGUUUUUUCAAUUUUAAAUUGAAAAAAGUGGUAUUUCUAAGCCGAUUUUCGAACAUCUGAUUAUUCCAAACGAAAGAGCAUGCUUUUUUCUAUAUAAUGGCAUAUUC
rnacentral:lncRNA from 1 species